CACCUGUUACAAAAACUUUGACAAAAAUAUUUUAACAUAAACUACACGGAAUUCCCCAACCACUCCACGGAUAUCACUUAGACUCCUCCUUCAACACAACAACCCCAUCACCAUAAACUCCCAUGAGCCAAAACCAACUCUCUUCAUCUAUCCAUCGUCUCACCAGAGGUAAUUUUUUGUUUAUCGGUCCUUCUUCCGUUACUAAUUGUACAACAUUAAAAUUUCAAAAUUAACUCUCGUGUUAUUUGGUUUUGAGAAAUUUAGCUACCAUGUUGGCUUUAUUAAGUUUAUAUUGAAUAAAAUAUAUGACCAAUUAUUCUUUGAGUGUUGUUUGUUAAACGAAAUAUUCAUAUGUUUUCAAUCACUGCACCUAAAUUUAAGGUUAUAUUGUUGGUGGUGGAAGUUUCGUUAAAUCCAACAAAGAAAAAACUCUUUUUGCUAAAAUCUGGGAGUGAUGGAGUUCUUGUUGUUGUGUCGAAGGAAGAGGAGUAUCGAUAAUCUGUGUGAGGUGGUUGGUGGGUUCGCAAACAGUAGUUUCUUUCCUAAUAAUAACACUAACAAAACACUUCUAAAGGUAUUAAAAAAUAAAAUUGGGUGAGUGAGUGAGUCAUGGGCUUUUAUAUAACCUCUCACGCGAUCUAAAUUUCUCCCAUGACCUAAACCUCUCUUCACGCUCUGCCUCUAUCCUUUUCUUCUCACAUCUUCGGCAAGCUUUCAGCAUCAGAUUAAGUUCUUUCUCAGCUGUUGAGAAAGAGCUCGAAAUUACUAUUGAGACCCUUAUGGCUUUUCCCUUGCAAAUUAUGUUAACUCUUAUCUUCCUUGUGAUAUCAAAGUUAUAAGCAUUUUGCCUUCACAAAGAAGCUUUGAUCCGAGAAAGGAAUGCAAUCUGCGGAAGUAUUCCUACCUACUCCCUGCUGAAAUUAUCGGUAUUCAAAGCUACUCUAGCAAUGAUGAAAUCGAUUACCACCUCUCAGAGUUCAAUGAUAUUCUCAAAGAAUUUGAGGUGUGGUGACUGGCGCAAUUGCAUUUCUUAGGGGGGACAUCCUUUCCAUAAUUAUACUGCAAGGUCCAGGUACAGAAAACAUUUUCGUCGUAGACCGUCACAGUCGAAGAGCAGUAAGAGUUUAUCAGCAUACAAUUCAGAAUAUGAGGAUAGUGACAAGGAAGAAAAUUUUAAAAUUGAUGAGGCACGUACAGAAAACAUAGUGUGCCAAAACCAAAAGUCUUCAGGAACUUUCAAUUCCUGCGAACAUGUCAACAGCACCGGUAAUGAGAAAGAUAGUUUGCAUGAUCAGAGCUCGAGAUUGGUUGUUCGUGCGAAAUGGUUAUAUGAACCUGAUGAUGCUGACAGAUUAAAUGCUUCUCAUUUCAGAAGAGUUUUUAAGUGUUGUUGUGAAAGCUGGAAAGAUCACUGAGACAUAAUUACAUAGAGAUCUACAUAGAGGGAGAGUCCUUUAUGUUGCAUCAGGUAUCUUCCAUAUACUGUUUAUUUGGUACUGAUCAUUUCCAAUUCUUUAAAAAACAUGUUGCAAAAAAAAAACAAAAAAAAGCAAAAAUACAUCUUUAUUCUUUUAAGUUUAGCUCAAUUUUCGCUUAGGUCCUUUAAAUUUAUUUUUUCCCCAAUUUUGUCCUUUAAAAUACAUUCGAUUUGUAUCAUUAGCCUUUAAGAUAUAUUAAAUUACACAUGUGACCCUUUAAGUUUGAUAAUUUUCUCGAAUUACUGUCAUGUUAAGAUCUUAUCAAAGCAUUGCAACAAGUUGACUGUCCAAGUUACUUUGCAUGUGAAAGAAGUUAAAAACAUUGAUUAUGUGAAUAGACUUUUAUUACCUUGUUUUUAAGACGAUAUGUGUGUUUAAAUUGUUGUAAAUAAAAUCAAGAAAUAUAGACCAUUUAUAAGAUUUGAUUAAUGUUUUGUGAAAGAUUAGUAUGAGAUACAUAUAGUUGCAACAUUUGGUAGAGUUUUAAAUGAUCAAAAGUUUUCAAUUGAAUGAAUUGUUUUCAAAAUUGAGAUAAAGGACUAACGAUGUAAACAUAAUGUAACUUAAAUGACUAAAUUGAGAUAAAAUAAACUUAAAGAACCUAAGCGGGAAUUAAGUUAAACUUAAAGGACCUCAGCGGAAAUUGAGUUAAUAUUUGUCUUGUAGUAUUUUAUGUUUGAGCUUAAAUUGAAAGUUUAACCCUUUUGAUUAACCAUAUAAUUCUAACCCAAAUUUCAGCAUUCAAGAAAAGAAACUGUAAAGAAAAAAAGUAUCAACUUAUCAUCACAUAAUCACAAAUUAAUAUGGUUGAAUACUUUUGCUAGUGUUGGAUGUUACUAAUGAAUGUUCAAAUAGAUCUAUGCUGGUGUUAGACUUGGAUGUAAGUGUUGAAUGUUUUUGCUAGUUAUAUACAUGCCUAACUAAUUUUUCUAUAAUUCUAAUGUGAUUUUGGAAUUGUAUGAACUUUUCAA